rnacentral:rRNA from 1 species
UACGAAGGGGGCUAGCGUUAAUCGGAAUUACUGGGCGUAAAGCGUGCGCAGGCGGUCUCGUAAGCUGGGUGUGAAAGCCCCGGGCUUAACCUGGGAACGGCAUUCAGGACUGCGAGGCUCGAGUGUGGCAGAGGGAGGUGGAAUUCCACGUGUAGCAGUGAAAUGCGUAGAGAUGUGGAGGAACACCGAUGGCGAAGGCAGCCUCCUGGGCCAGCACUGACGCUCAUGCACGAAAGCGUGGGGAGCAAACAGG